UACGUAGGGUGCAAGCGUUGUCCGGAAUUAUUGGGCGUAAAGAGCUCGUAGGCGGUUUGUCGCGUCUGCUGUGAAAACCCGAGGCUCAACCUCGGGCCUGCAGUGGGUACGGGCAGACUAGAGUGCGGUAGGGGAGAAUGGAAUUCCUGGUGUAGCGGUGGAAUGCGCAGAUAUCAGGAGGAACACCGGUGGCGAAGGCGGGUCUCUGGGCCGAUACUGACGCUGAGGAGCGAAAGCGUGGGGAGCGAACAGG
rnacentral:rRNA from 1 species